rnacentral:lncRNA from 1 species
GGCCCUAAGGCAACUAUAUAGUCCAUCAAUGAAUGCAAACCUUAUGUUAGUAGUACCAUAUACUCUUGCUUUACAAACCGUUUUACAAGCAUAGUGGGAGUAUUAUAUACAACUAAAUCAAUCACAUGAACCAAUAGUUGUAAUAGGACCAAAUUGUUUUAAUAAGAUUAAAAUGCAUGCUUAUAUGUGAUGAGACCUAAAACCAUUGAACCAAACCAUUAUUAAGUUGAUAAGCGUGAGAGUGCUUUGAACACUCUUUCGUGGCCUUCCACCGUGGUAGGCUCCGAUCGUUUGUGACUCGUACACUGACUUCACCCUAUCAUGGGGGAGUACAAAGUGCGUGCUUACACUCAGGAGGAGUUCUAUAUGCAUACAUGAUGUUGUGAAGGUAGGCAACGAGAAUAGCCAACAUCAUAUCAUUGUAAGGUUGUUCUUGAACCCCUACUCAAACUUGCAUGGUGGGAAUGACUUAACUAAGUGCAAUGGAGCCAACAUCAUAUCAUUGUGAGGCUUCAUUCUCUAGAGGCCAAAUAAGAUGGGUACUUGCAAGAGAUGCAAAUGAGUAAGUGUACUCUCUCAUUAUUAUUGAUGGUAGCCAACAUCAUAUCAUUGUGAGGUGGGCUUGG